rnacentral:tRNA from 1 species
CACAAGUAGCUCAAUCGGGUAGAGCGCUGGCCUCACACGCCGGAGGUUGCUGGUUCGAAUCCAGCCUCGCAAAUGGUAACCA